UGGGAAGUAUUGCUCAUGGGCAGGAAGACCUCGACGCAGCGACGCCGCGUGAGGGACGAAGGCCUUCGGGUUGUAAACCUCUUUCAGCAGGGACGAAGCGAAAGUGACGGUACCUGCAGAAGAAGCACCGGCCAACUACGUGCCAGCAGCCGCGGUAAUACGUAGGGUGCAAGCGUUGUCCGGAAUUAUUGGGCGUAAAGAGCUCGUAGGCGGUCCGUUGCGUCGGCUGUGAAAAACCCGAGGCUCAAGCCU
rnacentral:rRNA from 1 species